rnacentral:rRNA from 1 species
AGCUUAAAGUUUUAUUUUAAGUGAAACCUGCCCAGUGCGCUAUAUGUAAACGGCCGCAGUACCUUGACUGUGCUAAGGUAGCAUAAUAAUUUGGCCUUUAAAUGGGGUCGAGUAUGAAUGGGAUCAUAGGGUGAAGCUGUCUCUACCUCACUUAAUUUAACUUAUUUAUUAGGUGAAAAUACCUAAUUAAAGAUAAAAGACGAGAAGACCCUAGGAGUUUUAACUAAAGGAUUAGCAUUACUCUUACGUUUUCGUUGGGGCGACGUAGAGAGAUUAUAAAACUCUCUUUAAUUUAUUUGCCGACUUUGUAUGAAGAAUUAAACUACCCUAGGGAUAACAGCGUAAUUCUUUGUGAGCUUGCGACCUCGAUGUUGGACUAGGAAUUCGGUAGGCUAGCCGCCUAUUUAUAUUGUUCUGUUCGAACUAAUUUUCC